UACGGGGGGUGCAAGCGUUAUCCGGAUUCACUGGGUUUAAAGGGUGUGUAGGCGGAUAUUUAAGUCAGUGGUGAAAUCUCCGGGCUCAACCCGGAAACUGCCAUUGAUACUAUUUAUCUUGAAUUCUGUUGAGGUGGGCGGAAUACAUCAUGUAGCGGUGAAAUGCUUAGAUAUGAUGUAGAACACCGAUUGCGAAGGCAGCUCACUAACCAGACAUUGACGCUGAGGCACGAAAGCGUGGGGAUCAAACAGG
rnacentral:rRNA from 1 species